AAGCCCCAGUAAACGGCGGCCGUAACUAUAACGGUCCUAAGGUAGCGAAAUUCCUUGUCGGGUAAGUUCCGACCUGCACGAAUGGCAUAACGAUGGCCACACUGUCUCCUCCCGAGACUCAGUGAAGUUGAAAUGUUUGUGAUGAUGCAAUCUACCCGCGGCUAGACGGAAAGACCCCAUGAACCUUUACUGCAGCUUUGCAUUGAACUGUGAACCGAUUUGUGUAGGAUAGGUGGGAGGCAGAGAAGAGGCCACGCCAGUGGCCUUGGAGCCGACCUUGAAAUACCACCCUGAUUUGUUUGCGGUUCUAACCACGGACAGUGAUCCUGUCUUGGGACCGUGCAUGGUAGGCAGUUUGACUGGGGCGGUCUCCUCCUAAAGGGUAACGGAGGAGUACGAAGGUACGCUAGGUACGGUCGGAAAUCGUGCUGAUAGUGCAAUGGCAAAAGCGUGCUUGACUGCGAGAGCAACAACUCGAGCAGAUGCGAAAGCAGGUCAUAGUGAUCCGGUGGCUCUGAAUGGAAGGGCCAUCGCUCAACGGAUAAAAGGUACUCUGGGGAUAACAGGCUGAUACCGCCCAAGAGUUCAUAUCGACGGCGGUGUUUGGCACCUCGAUGUCGGCUCAUCUCAUCCUGGGGCUGUAGUCGGUCCCAAGGGUAUGGCUGUUCGCCAUUUAAAGAGGUACGUGAGCUGGGUUUAAAACGUCGUGAGACAGUUUGGUCCCUAUCUGCCGUGGGCGUUGGAAGAUUGACGGGGGCUGCUCCUAGUACGAGAGGACCGGAGUGGACGCACCUCUGGUGUACCGGUUGUCACGCCAGUGGCAUUGCCGGGUAGCUAAGUGCGGAAGAGAUAACCGCUGAAAGCAUCUAAGCGGGAAACUUGCCUGAAGAUGAGUCUUCCCGGAGGUUGAACCUCCCUCAAGAGUCGUCCGAGACCAGGACGUCGAUAGGUCAGGUGUGUAAGCGCUGUAAGGCGUUGAGCUAACUGAUACUAAUUGCUCGUGAGGCUUGAUCCU
rnacentral:rRNA from 1 species